rnacentral:rRNA from 1 species
CCUACGGGCGGCAGCAGUGAGGAAUAUUGGUCAAUGGACGAGAGUCUGAACCAGCCAAGUAGCGUGAAGGAUGACUGCCCUAUGGGUUGUAAACUUCUUUUAUAUGGGAAUAAAAUGUUCCACGUGUGGGAUUUUGUAUGUACCAUAUGAAUAAGGAUCGGCUAACUCCGUGCCAGCAGCCGCGGUAAUACGGAGGAUCCGAGCGUUAUCCGGAUUUAUUGGGUUUAAAGGGAGCGUAGGUGGAUUGUUAAGUCAGUUGUGAAAGUGUGCGGCUCAACCGUAAAAUUGCAGUUGAAACUGGCAGUCUUGAGUACAGGAGAGGUGGGCGGAAUUCGUGGUGUAGCGGUGAAAUGCUUAGAUAUCACGAAGAACUCCGAUUGCGAAGGCAGUUCACUGGACUGCAACUGACACUGAGGCUCGAAAGUGUGGGUAUCAAACAGGAUUAGAUACCCGUGUAGUC